ACUCAAGCUUUUAUAAUAUUUAAAAAGUACAGCCUGCAGGACUCGAGAAGCGUACGCUGCUUUUAUGCCAGGACAGCAGUCUGUUGAGCUCUUGUGCUCCCUGAAAUCUAAGGAAACCCUGAAUCUGAGACCGUGCACAUUCCUAACACUUCACCCACAGCUGUAGAUGGGAACAAGCUUCCUUGGGCAGUAGGAUGCUCUACCUCCUUGACUGAAAGAAGAAGUUGGAAAGAGCGUUAAGGACAAAAAACUAGCAGUUAGCAAGGGUGCAUCAAGUUCUUGYACAUGUUUCUAGCAAUGAGGUGGAAUAGAUCUCUUUUGGUCAUGCUUGUAUGUUUUCAGCAAGUUA